GCAGGUGCUGCCCGUGGAGGCAGUGGGAGCCCCACUUACUAAGUCAGCAGUACACCCUCAUCUCAAGAUUUGCUGGCUUCGAUGGAGCUGCCUGUGAAGUGGAUCUGGGAGACAGAGGCACUGGAGGUUCCCAGAAGAACUUCAUAAGACGAUGUCAACAGCUAACCUCUUGCAUCAGACCUUGCUGAGGGCUUCCUAACCACCCAAAAAACAUCGUCCAGAAUAGUUCCGUCUGGGCUCAGCUAAGCUGAUCUGUGGUCAUCGCCUGUCAAGUUGGGACGGUCCAGGCCAACACCACAAGGAUGUGAUUUACACUGCUAUCUGUGGUGUGAGGCGGACAUGAGAAAGGACAACUGGGCAGCAGCCAUUCCUAAACGGGUUCUACCUGUGCACCGUGCACUCCUGCAACAUCUAAGAACACUCAGGCCGC